rnacentral:rRNA from 1 species
UACGGGGGGGGUAAGCGUUGUUCGGAAUUACUGGGCGUAAAGGGCUCGUAGGCGGCCAACUAAGUCAGACGUGAAAUCCCUCAGCUUAACUGGGGAACUGCGUCUGAUACUGGAUGGCUUGGAUUCGGGAGAGGAAUGCGGAAUUCCAGGUGUAGCGGUGAAAUGCGUAGAUAUCUGGAGGAACACCGGUGGCGAAGGCGGCAUUCUGGACCGACAUUGACGCUUAGGAGCGAAAGCCAGGGGAGCAAACGGG